GGCUCCGUGGCCAAGUGGCAAGGCGUCUGUCUUGUAAACAGAAGAUCGUGGGUUCGAACCCCGCCGGGGCCU
rnacentral:tRNA from 1 species